UUGCGGGGACUGCCCGCCCUGGGAUACGUUUCAGGAUAACAUUGCGAACUAAACGAUCGAGCGCGCGAAUUAUACUACUACUUACUAAGUUAUUUACUUAUAAAUUUACCGUUUAAUGUAGUGAAACCAUAAUUAUAUUAAAGCAACUACGGAUCAUAGUUGAAGCAGUAAAUUUAAGAUCUAAUAAUAAUAAAAAAUAGUAGGUAACAGUUAAAAAUAACUAUCAAGUUAAACAAUCGUUAAGCAGUAGUUCGGAGUUAACGUUGUUUACGCGGCGUGUAUGUCGAUGGACUUAUGGCUCGGGUGUUGACCUGAAAUGGACUUUAUUGUCAGGCCUAUGGAGUGUUUAUUGGCGCGUGUGCGAACGGCUGAGAAGGUGUCGGUACAUGUAAAUAUUUACUAUAGUUAGAGCGAGGAACGCGAGCGUCGAAUCGAGUCGCGGUAACUGAGGUGACUACGAAAAACGCAUACAGCAAGAACUGCUUCUUCGUCAUUAUAUAGUGAUCCUACAUUAGUAGACAGACACGUUCAG